rnacentral:rRNA from 1 species
AGUCACUGACAUUAGAUACCCCUGUAGUCCCAGCCGUAAACUAUGCUCGCUAGGUGUCAGGCAUGGCGCGACCGUGUCUGGUGCCGCAGGGAAGCCGUGAAGCGAGCCACCUGGGAAGUACGGCCGCAAGGCUGAAACUUAAAGGAAUUGCGGGGAGCACCACAACGGGUGGAGCCUGCGGUUUAAUUGGACUCAACGCCGGGAAGCUCACCGGAUAAGACAGCGGAAUGAUUGCCGGGCUGAAGACUCUGCAUGACUAGCUG